UCAUGGGCAAAAAAUGGUGUCAGCUUCGUUUUGUUUUUUCCUUCUCUUUCUGAACUCUGACAGAGAAGCAGUUUGUCUAGAAUUUGCAAGGCUUUCAGGUGAGGAAAAGGAAGAAUUUGUAGUAGCAAUACGUACUUUGUACACGUGCAAAAAUAGUUUCCAGGACAUGUUUCUCUGUCUUCGUGGUCUCUCUCUGAUACUGUGAAGCUUAGUUACUUUUUUUUUUUUUCAGUUGUGAGGGCUUUGGUGUCUGAUUAAUAGAACUAAUAAAUCAUUCCCUUACUAUUGCAUAAAAAUCUAACCUCUUACUAGAAUACAGUGUUCCUUAUGACAACGCCUAUUUUUGUUUAUAGAACCAAAAUGGAAGGUAUUACCUACAAGAGACUCCACCCUUAACUCUGAUACCCUCUCCCAUGGUUGCAAAGCAUUUGAUUACAUCAUGUCCCCUCAAAAUUUGCAUCUACUUGGAAUAUCAGAAUGUGACCUGACUUGGAAAGAAGGUCUCUAAAGACACAAGUGGCUACAAAUGAAAUCAUCCUGGACUUAGGGCACCCUCAAUCCAAUAAUUGGUGUCCUUAUAAGACUGUAUUACAACCCUGUAAUAUACAGAGAACUGGUAGUCAUGCAGAUGGUUCUUGUCCGUGUGAAUGGAGAAAGGAAGAAGAGACCCAGUGAGGCAAGAGUGAGGUCUGAGCCCCUAUGGGAGAAGCAAGCUGCCAUGUUGUGGAGAGGCUUGUGUGUCAAGAAACUGCAGUUUCCAGCUGAUAGCGAGAAACUGAGGACUGCCAACAGCCACGUGAGUGAUCUCAGAAGUAUCCUCUAGACAAGCCUUGAGAUGAUGGCAAGCUGUGGCUGACAGUUUGACUGCCACUUUAUGAGAGAGACUGAUUCAGAUGGAUUCCAGCCACGCUGCUCCUGGAUGCCUGACCCACAGAAACUGCAAUAACAAAUUGUGAUGGUCAUCAGUGGGCAGGAAAGAUGUUUUCUUCAGUGACCUUGAAAUGCUGGUGGCGUGGACUGGAUGGUUGUGACCUAGCUCCUUCCUCACCUGCCAACCCUCUCUCAAGACAGAUCCUGGGAGGCAGGAGUCGGACUCCAGCAGAGGGGAGGUGCGACGAUGUCCAGAAGAUAUAAGAGAAGAAACGUCCUUCGAUUCCUAAUCAAACAACAUCGAUGAAGCAAUUAGUAUAUAGAAGGUGCUAGGCAAGAAGCAUUCUAGUUUCCUGUUGUGGAGGAGUUUACAGUCUGAAAGAAAGAAGUGUAGAGUCUGUCUGCGGGUAGCACCAACAUAGAGGAAGCAAGACCAAGAGGUGAACAUCAGGUGCUUGUGACUUCUUGCAAGACCCUGGUUGAAGCCGUGCCUGAAGACGGACCUACCCUCUGGACUUUUCAACUGUAUGGUCAAAGCCUCUGGCUCUUCUCCGCGGUAGAAUGAAAGAUCCCAACCUGGCUGAGCUCAGGAUGGAAAUGUUUGUGGAACUUUCGGUUAGGUGCUGGUAAAAGGAGCAUGCGGCCAGAGCGGCUCUGAAAACCCAGAGGAGCUGGAAGCUGACCUCCGACAGGAGCGGUCAUGUGCACGUUUGUCCAGACUGCAAGAUUUCCUCCCUGGCCUUGGUCUCUGCUCUCUGGAUUCACAUUAUGUUCUGUCCCUCCAGCCCAGCCCCGCCCUUUCCAUGAAGCCUUCCAUAAACUCUGCCAGGCCACCAUGACUGGUGCCUCCUCACCCAGCAGUCACAUCGGGUACACCAUGCCCCAGAAUUCAGCUGCUACGUGCUCCUAGUACUUAGCUGUGAGCCUUCUUUCUUUAAGACGAUGGAAAGCCUGGGGGCACCUGGGUGGCUCAGUCAGUUGAGUGCCUGACUCUUGAUUUUGGCUCAGGUCAUGAUCUCCAGGUUGUGUUGGGUUCGUGCUGAUGGCACACAGCCUGCUUGGGAUUCUCUCCCCCCACCCCCCUCUGCCCAUCCUCCCGCUCUUCUCUCUCAAAAAUAAAUAAGCUUUUUUAAAAAAGAGGACGGAAAGCGUGCUGAAGCCAGAGACUAUGUUUUCUCAGCACUGGGUUGAGUAUAAAGUACAGGUGGAAUGAAAUUUAAUUGCACCAAAUAGAAGAUGGACGAGCCAGGACCUUCCGAAGAUGCCUGUUUAUUAUAAAUAAUAAGAUGGAAAACUUACAUUAACUGGAUUCUUCAGAGAGAGAGAGUGUGUGUGUGAAGGACAAGCUGUGUAUACUUUGAUCUGUCUCAUGGGUAGAAGGAGAGAGACUCUCAGGGGCAUUCGCUAUAUAGUUGCUACUUUUUUUCUAAGGGGUUUGCAGGUUUGAAUCAGAGCCAAACUCAGCAGGAAGACAGAGGGCAACUGGCUGCUUCUCCCCCUUCCCAGGCAAAGAUGGCACCAGCCUCUAAAUAUGUGUGCCCAAAUGUGUUUGCAGGGCGCCAUACUAUGAGCCCGCCCUGGACCUUACACUUCUGCCUCUGGCCUGGUAGCUGUACUACAAACACAGCAUAUUCUCAGUCCAUCUUUUUUAAGUGAACCCACAAAGAGAAUUGCAAUGAGCAAGUUGAGCUUUUCUUCCCUGGGAGAAAAUCAUCUUAAGGCAUAGUUCACACUGAACUCUCUUGAUUGAAAGGGAGGGAGAGAACCUGCUUCUGGAGUCCAUGUUCUCUGGGCCUUACCAGCCACAGAGGGGUCCAGGGGACAGCACCAGCAUCACUCAGAAGACUGUUGGAAAUGCAGAAUCUUGGCCUCUACCCCAGAUCUACUGAUUUCCAGUCUGAAUUGUAAAGGGAUUUGUAUGUGCUGUUCUAUAGAACACGGAGUGACCUAAGUCUGGACUUUGGAACUAAGUACAAAUAAAUCUCUAAUGUGAAAAUGGCAUCCACAAAUCAUCCCUCAAGCAACGAGGUUUUAUUGAAAUCUGCUGGGUGCCUAGUCCUGCGUUAGGCACUGCGGGGAAAGAAAGAGGCAGGGGUGGGUCCAGCAAAUAAGGACUCACACUGUGGGAUGUCAAUGGCACACCCUGCCCACCGGUCCCUGCACAAGCCUCCACCGAGGGGCGGGCUCAUGCCUAACCGAAUUCUCUGCAGCAUACAGCACAGCCCUGGGGUGACACCGGUUACGUGGAUGACCCUUAUUUUCAGCAAUAAUAUGUCAUUAAGAUCGAGCUAGCAAAUCUUCAGGGAAGACAGGCCAGUUCUAACCUCCUUCAUAACAUUUCUCUUUUGCAAUGAAGCAUCGCCGAGUUUGUUGAAACCUCAUUCAGUGUUGCUAAAGCUCAAACACUCAGGCUUCCCCAAGGUCCAGACUGGGACUGGGAGGUUGUGGGGUGCUGUCCUGGCCUAUUAGCCCAGACUGUUGUUGUACUGUUGAAGUCUGUGCUCCCUGCAUUGUGUCUUGUAAAGGGAGUUGUUUUAGAAUACUAUGCAUAAAAAUGUAGAUUCUGGAGUCAGAUUGCCAUGAGUUCAUUUCCAGGCUCUGCCAUUUGCUAGCUGUGUGACCUGGUGCAAGCCUCAAUUUGCUAGCUAUUAAUAAAGAGAUACUUUAUUUCCUGCUUAAUUUGGAUGAAAUCCAAUUUAUCUUUUUUUUUUUUUUUUUUUUUUUUUGCAUUUAGGGAUUGUGUUUUUGAUGUUCUAUCUAAGAAAUCUUUGCCAAGGUCAUAAAAAUGUUCUCCUGUGUUUCCUUCUAGACAUUGUAUAAUCUAAGGCUUAACAUUUAGGUCUGUGAUCCAUUUUUAAGUUUUGAACAUGCUACAAAGUGUGCAGGGUAAAGAGAGGUUCUUCUUUUUUUUUUUCUUUUUCUUUCUUUCUCUUUCCUUUUCUUUUUGACAUAUGGAUAUGUGUUUGUUGCGGCACCAUUUGUUGAAAAGACCAUCCUUUGUCCUUUGAAUUGCCUUUACACUUUUGUAAAAAAUCACCAGCAGUGUAUUUGUGGCUCUAUUGUGUUGUGUUGAUUUAUAUGUCUGCCCUUUGGCCAAUACUGUACCCUUGAUUUCAGCAGCUUUAUGGCAAGACUUGAAACCAGUUAGUAAAAGACUACCAACCUUGUUCAUGAAAAAUAUCUAGGCAACCUGAGUCAGUUCUAUUUCCAUAUAAAUUUUAUAAUUGGUUCAUUAAUUGCAACCAAAAAAAAGCCUGCUGGAAUUUUGCAUAAAAUCUAUAAAUACAUUUGAAGAGAACUGACAUCUUUACAUCACAGAUUCUUUUAAUCCGUGAACACAGUAUAUUUUUCCAUAUAUUUAUGUCUUUCAUUUCUCUGAGCAAUAUUGUAUAGUUUUCAGUGUAUAGGUCUUGCAUAGCUUUUGUUAAAUGUAUUCCUCAGGAUGUUCUGUCACUCUUAUAAAUGAACUUCUUAAAAUUUCCUUUUCUAAUUGUUUGUUGCAAUUCUAUAAAAAUAAAAAUCAUUUUUGAAUGUUAA